rnacentral:rRNA from 1 species
AGCGAACGCUGGCGGCAGGCCUAACACAUGCAAGUCGAACGAAGUCUUCGGACUUAGUGGCGGACGGGUGAGUAACACGUGGGAACGUGCCUUUAGGUUCGGAAUAACUCAGGGAAACUUGUGCUAAUACCGAAUGUGCCCUUCGGGGGAAAGAUUUAUCGCCUUUAGAGCGGCCCGCGUCUGAUUAGCUAGUUGGUGAGGUAAAGGCUCACCAAGGCUACGAUCAGUAGCUGGUCUGAGAGGAUGACCAGCCACAUUGGGACCGAGACACGGCCCAAACUCCUACGGGAGGCAGCAGUGGGGAAUCUUGCGCAAUGGGCGAAAGCCUGACGCAGCCAUGCCGCGUGGAUGAUGAAGGUCUUAGGAUUGUAAAAUCCUUUCACCGGUGAAGAUAAUGACUGUAGCCGGAGAAGAAGCCCCGGCUAACUUCGUGCCAGCAGCCGCCGUAAGAC